UACAGAGGGUGCGAGCGUUAAUCGGAAUUACUGGGCGUAAAGCGCACGUAGGUGGCGACGUAAGUCGGGUGUGAAAGCCCCGGGCUCAACCUGGGAAUUGCAUUCGAGACUGUGUCGCUGGAGUACGGAAGAGGAAGGCGGAAUUCCCGGUGUAGCGGUGAAAUGCGUAGAUAUCAGGAGGAACACCAAUUGCGAAGGCAGCUCGCUGGGACGUUACUGACGCUGAGACGCGAAAGCGUGGGGAGCAAACAGG
rnacentral:rRNA from 1 species